rnacentral:rRNA from 1 species
AUGACGGUGUCGUCACUGAGGUCGUACUUGUCCCGGAGCGUGAAGAGCGCGUCGACGAAAUGCUGCUUGCUGGCGCCGCUCCGCUGGAGGGCCCUGGCGUGCUCCUCCAUGAUCUUGACAGUGAGCCGGUCGCGCCGGUCGCCGUGGGCCUGAUAGGCCACCUCGUCGACGGGCGUCAGCCAGCGGAGCCACCGGAUGUGCUCGGCGAUGGACAGCGACGCGCCGAUCUUGAUCCCGUUGUUGACGAUCUCCUUGAACUCGCGUCCCUGCUCGUCCAGCUCGCCCGCCGCGGUCAGGAACCGCUUCCCGAAGGCGAGGCGCGUGAUGUUGUUGAAGCCCACCAUGGCGAGGAACUCCCGCACGGCCACCGGCUUCCCUUCCUUGCCGGCCCGGUGCACGGACUCGACCAUGGCGGUGACCUCGUCCUCGCGGACGGGGCGGAGCACCUCGAGGCGGCGCGGCGUGAAGAGCUCGAGGUUGCAGAGCUUGCGCACCUUGAUGUAG